rnacentral:rRNA from 1 species
UACGUAGGGUGCGAGCGUUGUCCGGAAUUAUUGGGCGUAAAGGGCUCGUAGGCGGUCUGUCACGUCGGGAGUGAAAACUCAGGGCUUAACCCUGAGCCUGCUUCCGAUACGGGCAGACUAGAGGUACGCAGGGGAGAACGAAUUCCUGGUGUAGCGGUGAAAUGCGCAGAUAUCAGGAGGAACACCGGUGGCGAAGGCGGUUCUCUGGGCAUUACCUGACGCUGAGGAGCGAAAGUGUGGGGGAGCGAACAGG